rnacentral:tRNA from 2 species
GCCCGAGUGGCGGAAUGGCAGACGCGACGGACUCAAAAUCCGUUGCUCGAAAGGGCGUGUGGGUUCGAGUCCCACCUCGGGCA